AGCAGCCGCGGUAAUUCCAGCUCCAAUAGCGUAUAUUAAAGUUGUUGCAGUUAAAAAGCUCGUAGUUGAAUUUCGGGGUUAGUAGGUUGGUCAUGCCUCUGGUAUGUACUGGUCUCACUGAUUCCUCCUUCCUUAUGAACCGUAAUGCCAUUAAUUUGGUGUUGCGGGAAAUUUGGACUGUUACUUUGAAAAAAUUAGAGUGUUUAAAGCAAGCUAACGCUUGAAUACAUUAGCAUGGAAUAAUGAAAUAGGACGUUCGAUCUUAUUUUGUUGGUUUCUAGGAUUGACGUAAUGAUUAAUAGGGAUAGUUGGGGGCAUUAGUAUUCAAUUGUCAGAGGUGAAAUUCUUGGAUUUAUUGAAGACUAACUACUGCGAAAGCAUUUGCCAAGGAUGUUUUCAUUAAUCAAGAACGAAAGUUAGGGGAUCGAAGACGAUCAGAUACCGUCGUAGUCUUAACCAUAAACUAUGCCGACUAGGGAUCGGAUGAUGUUAAUUUUUAAUGACUCAUUCGGCGCCUUAC
rnacentral:rRNA from 1 species